CAUGUCUUAUUGUAUUUAGUAAUAAGUUUGACCUGCCCACUGAAAUAGUAUUUUUAAAUGGCCGCAGUAUAUUAACUGUGCAAAGGUAGCAUAAUAAUUUGUUUUUUAAUUGGAGACUGGAAUGAAUGGUUGGACGUAAGAACUGCUGUCUCUAUUCUUUUUAUUGAAUUUUACUUUUAAGUGAAAAGGCUUAAAUUUUAUUAAGGGACGAGAAGACCCCAUCAAGUUUUAUAGAUGUAAGUUUUUAUUUUUUCAUAUUUAAUUUCUUAAUUUAUUUUUCUGGGGCGGAAGAAAUAGUAUAUCUUUUUUUAAAUUGAGAAUAACUAUUAAGUUUAUUAUUGAGUUUUAGUUAAAAAUAAUAUGAAUAAAUUACUGUGGGGGUAACAGCGUUAUUUCUUUUUAGAGUUCAUAUUAAUAAAGAAGAUUGCGACCUCGAUGUUGGAUUAAUUUUACCUAAUGGUGAAGAAGCU
rnacentral:rRNA from 1 species